GCGUUGUCCGGAAUCACUGGGCGUAAAGGGCGCGUAGGCGGCCUGGUAAGUAGGGGGUGAAAUCCUGCGGCUUAACCGCAGGGCUGCCUUCUAAACUGUCAGGCUAGAGCACAGUAGAGGCAGGUGGAAUUCCCGGUGUAGCGGUGGAAUGCGUAGAGAUCGGGAAGAACAUCAGUGGCGAAGGCGGCCUGCUGGGCUGUUGCUGACGCUGAGGCGCGACAGCGUG
rnacentral:rRNA from 1 species